UAAAAGUCGUAACAAGGUCUCCGUUGGUGAACCAGCGGAGGGAUCAUU
rnacentral:rRNA from 2 species